CCUACGGGAGGCAGCAGUGGGGAAUAUUGGGCAAUGGAGGAAACUCUGACCCAGCGACGCCGCGUGAGGGAUGAAGGCCUUCGGGUUGUAAACCUCUUUCAGUAGGGAAGAAGCGAAAGUGACGGUACCUACAGAAGAAGCACCGGCUAACUAUGUGCCAGCAGCCGCGGUAAUACAUAGGGUGCAAGCGUUGUCCGGAAUUAUUGGGCGUAAAGAGCUCGUAGGUGGUUCGAUACGUCGGAUGUGAAAAUCAGGGGCUCAACCCCUGACCUGCAUCCGAUACGGUCGAGCUAGAGUUUGGUAGGGGAGACUGGAAUUCCUGGUGUAGCGGUGGAAUGCGCAGAUAUCAGGAGGAACACCGAUGGCGAAGGCAGGUCUCUGGGCCAAUACUGACACUGAGGAGCGAAAGCGUGGGGAGCGAACAGGAUUAGAUACCCUGGUAGUCCACGCCGUAAACGGUGGGCGCUAGUUGUGCGAACCUUCCACGGUUUGUGCGACGCAGCUAACGCAUUAAGCGCCCCGCCGUGGGGAGUACGAUCGCAAGAUUAAAACUUAAAGGUAAUUGACGG
rnacentral:rRNA from 1 species